CCCAUGCAUCGAAUCGAAACCCAUCUACGAACGCGUGUGGUUUCAACUCUCAUAGAUCAAACCGAACACAAGCGUUAAUCCUCUCUCUCUCGCUCUCCUUUUUUUUUUCUUCACAGCAAAACUAAAGAGAAUUUCUUUGCUUUCUUUGUCGUAUUGUUAUUCUCUCUCUUUCUCUUUCUCCUAAGCCCUCAAGAAUUCAACUUUUUCGUAUUCAUGAAAGCUAAGCUCUAUCUUACAAGGUUGGUUUUGGCACGUGGGUUUUAACGUUCAAGUUCUUCUAUGAAGAUGGACACUACUCUUUUGGAUAAUGGCAUGGAGGGCAUUGAAGAUGAAUCUGCUGAACAAUUACU